rnacentral:piRNA from 1 species
UGAAAAGAAGCUCUGAUGGAUCUGCCAAA